rnacentral:rRNA from 1 species
UACGUAGGUGACAAGCGUUGUCCGGAUUUACUGGGCGUAAAGAGCGCGCAGGCGGUCGAUCAAGUCGAGUGUGAAAGCCCCCGGCUCAACUGGGGAGGGUCACGCGAUACUGAUCGACUCGAAGGCAGGAGAGGGUAGUGGAAUUCCCGGUGUAGUGGUGAAAUGCGUAGAUAUCGGGAGGAACACCAGUGGCGAAGGCGACUACCUGGCCUGUUCUUGACGCUGAGGCGCGAAAGCUAGGGGAGCAAACGGG